rnacentral:rRNA from 1 species
AUGGCGCUGGAGGCGGCGAGGGAGUGGGCGGCGUCCGUGCUGCCGCCGGAGCUGGCCGCGGCGGCGGGGGGCGACCCGCUGGCCGCGCUCGCGGCCACCGCGGCCGCGCUCCUGGCCGGGCUGCUCGUGCUCGCCUUCUGGCUCCGAUCCGGCGGGAGCGCGCCGCCCAAGCCGCCCCCCGCGUCCUUCCGCCCGCCGCCCGUCAAGGUCGACGCCGACGACGCCGACGACGGCCGCAAGCGCGUCACCAUCUUCUUCGGCACCCAGACCGGCACCGCCGAGGGCUUCGCCAAGGCUAUGGCGGAGGAGGCCAAGGCGCGGUACGAGAAGGUCCUCUUCAAAGUGGUGGAUCUGGAUGACUAUGCUGCCGAGGACGAUGAGUACGAGGAGAAGCUCAAGAAGGAAACUUUUGCGCUCUUCUUCUUAGCAACAUAUGGCGACGGGGAACCCACUGAUAAUGCAGCAAGAUUCUACAAAUGGUUCACUGAGGGUAAGGAGAAGGAGGUUUGGCUUAAGGAUUUCAAUUAUGCUGUAUUUGGCCUUGGCAACAGGCAAUACGAGCAUUUUAAUAAGGUUGCAAAGGAGGUGGAUGAGUUACUGCUGGAGCAGGGUGGCAAUCGUCUUGUUCCAUGUGGCCUUGGUGAUGAUGAUCAGUGCAUUGAGGAUGACUUCACCGCAUGGUAUGAAAAUGACGGAUGGUAUAAGAAAGAACUAGUAUGGCCAGAAUUGGACCAACUGCUCCGUGAUGAAGAUGAUACUACUGGUGCAACCACUCCUUACACUGCUGCAAUACCUGAAUAUAGAGUUGUAUUUAUUGAUAAAUCAGAUUUAGAGUUCGAAGAUAAAUCCUGGACACUUGCCAACGGCAACGGUGUUAUUGAUGCCCAACACCCUUGCAGGGCCAAUGUUGCUGUUCGGAAGGAACUCCAUAAACCAGCCUCGGAUCGCUCUUGCAUUCAUCUGGAAUUUGAUAUUUCAGGCACUGGUCUUGUGUAUGAAACUGGGGAUCAUGUUGGGGUUUAUUCAGAAAAUUCUAUCGAGACAGUGGAGCAGGCUGAAACGCUACUUGAUCUUUCCCCAGAUACAGUUUUCUCCAUACAUGCAGACGCCGAAGAUGGAUCUCCUCGUAAAGGCGGGGGUUCCUUGGCUCCACCAUUCCCAUCUCCUUGUACCUUACGGACUGCACUUCUACGAUAUGCUGAUCUACUCAAUGCUCCAAAGAAGGCUGCUUUGACUGCUUUAGCUGCUCAUGCUUCUGACCCGACUGAAGCUGAGCGACUGAGGUUCUUGGCUUCUCCUGCUGGAAAGGAUGAGUAUGCUCAAUGGAUAGUAGCUAGCCAGAGGAGCCUUCUUGAAGUUAUGGCUGCAUUCCCUUCAGCUAAGCCCCCCUUGGGGGUAUUCUUUGCGGCGAUAGCUCCUCGUCUACAGCCACGAUUCUACUCCAUAUCAUCAUCUCCAAAGUUGGCUCCCUCCAGAAUUCAUGUGACAUGUGCAUUAGUUUAUGGUCCUACACCAACAGAAAGGAUCCACCAAGGAGUUUGUUCGACAUGGAUGAAGAACACACUUCCAUUGGAAUAUAGCGAAGAGUGCAGUUGGGCACCAAUUUUUGUGAGGCAGUCAAAUUUUAGGUUGCCUGCAGAUCCAUCCACUCCAAUCAUCAUGAUUGGUCCUGGGACAGGGCUAGCACCUUUUAGGGGCUUCUUGCAGGAAAGAUUAGCUCUAAAAGAAUCUGGAGCUGAAUUGGGCUCGUCAGUCCUCUUCUUUGGAUGCAGGAACCGUGAAAUGGACUACAUAUAUGAGGAAGAGUUGCAAAAUUUCCUUCAGGAGGGGGCACUCUCUGAGCUAAUUGUCGCCUACUCUCGUGAAGGACCAACCAAAGAAUAUGUGCAGCAUAAGAUGGUGGACAAGGCCACCGAGAUUUGGAACGUCAUUUCUCAAGGUGGUUACAUAUAUGUUUGUGGUGAUGCCAAGGGCAUGGCGAAAGACGUACACAGGGUUCUCCACACAAUAGUUCAAAAACAGGGAUCUUUGGAUAACUCCAAAACUGAGCUGUAUGUAAAGAACCUACAGAUGGAAGGCAGGUACCUCCGUGAUGUGUGGUAA